UGAUUCUUGCCUGGCCAUGGAUUCAGCAGCAGUUCGAGAGGUUGACCUAUUCGGGAAUCUUUGGAUUUAUGCUUAUUUUCAACUCCCCAAAGCAUUUCGUCGCUUACUAUGCCCUUCCUCGUCUCUGGGUGCCUAGGUAUCCACCGUAAGCCUUUCCUCGUCUCUGGGUCCCUAUG